GUUCCCUAUGAUGUUUGAAUUCUAACCAUGCUAAUACUGAUCAAUCCCUGAUUGAAAUAUUCUUCUUUAUGAUUUUCUGAGGGAGCU